rnacentral:lncRNA from 1 species
CCGUGCGGUCCCUGCGGGAUGCAGGCAGCAGCGAUGCCGCGGCUGUACCUAGCGAUAAUGCACAUCGGCAGAGAGAAGCACCCGGCUUCCAGCAAGGUGUUGCCUCAGUGUGUGACUGCCAGUGACAAGCAGUUCAAAUACAGUUUUUUGGGUUUUUUUUUGAGGCAUCCUUGGCUGUCUGAUGGAGAACAAACACUGCUACAAACUCGCCCAAAAGAAACUGAGAGCGUGCCACACAUUUCUGCAGUGAAAAUCCCAAAUGGAAAGCUACAGACACUGCAGGGAUGGCAUGUCCCAGUCUCACAGCUUUUGGCACUCAGUCUCCAGAGGCCUGCAUGGGCACCCAGCACCUCGCAAGGUGGGCUCUUACCCACCCCCAGUCCCAGGAAGGUAAAGGAUAAAGAGGAUAAUAACCGUACCAGCUUCACCAGCCCAUGGAGAGAACAGCUGAAGAGAGCAUGUGAAAUUGCUGUGAUGAAUAGCAGAAGAGGGGAAGGCUUUUUGCAGUGA